AGAGGUUGAACGGCCACAUUGGGACUGAGACACGGCCCAGACUCCUACGGGAGGCAGCAGUGGGGGAUAUUGCACAAUGGGGGAAACCCUGAUGCAGCGACGCCGCGUGGAGGAAGAAGGUCUUCGGAUUGUAAACUCCUGUUGUUGAGGAAGAUAAUGACGGUACUCAACAAGGAAGUGACGGCUAACUACGUGCCAGCAGCCGCGGUAAAACGUAGGUCACAAGCGUUGUCCGGAAUUACUGGGUGUAAAGGGAGCGCAGGCGGGAAGACAAGUUGGAAGUGAAAUCCAUGGGCUCAACCCAUGAACUGCUUUCAAAACUGUUUUUCUUGAGUAGUGCAGAGGUAGGCGGAAUUCCCGGUGUAGCGGUGGAAUGCGUAGAUAUCGGGAGGAACACCAGUGGCGAAGGCGGCCUACUGGGCACCAACUGACGCUGAGGCUCGAAAGUGUGGGUAGCAAACAGGAUUAGAUACCCUGGUAGUCCACACUGUAAACGAUGAUUACUAGGUGUUGGAGGGUUGACCCCUUCAGUGCCGCAGUUAACACAAUAAGUAAUCCACCUGGGGAGUACGACCGCAAGGUUGAAACUCAAAGGAAUUGACGGGGGCCCGCACAAGCAGUGGAGUAUGUGGUUUAAUUCGACGCAACGCGAAGAACCUUACCAAGUCUUGACAUCCUGCGACGGUUCUGGAAACAGAACUUUCCUUCGGGACGCAGAGACAGGUGGUGCAUGGUUGUCGUCAGCUCGUGUCGUGAGAUGUUGGGUUAAGUCCCGCAACGAGCGCAACCCUUAUGGUCAGUUACUACGCAAGAGGACUCUGGCCAGACUGCCGUUGACAAAACGGAGGAAGGUGGGGAUGACGUCAAAUCAUCAUGCCCUUUAUGACUUGGGCUACACACGUACUACAAUGGCGUUAAACAAAGAGAAGCAAGACCGCGAGGUGGAGCAAAACUCAGAAACAACGUCCCAGUUCGGACUGCAGGCUGCAACUCGCCUGCACGAAGUCGGAAUUGCUAGUAAUCGCAGAUCAGCAUGCUGCGGUGAAUACGUUCCCGGGCCUUGUACACACCGCCCGUCACACCAUGAGAGCCGGGGGGACCCGAAGUCGGUAGUCUAACCGCAAGGAGGACGCCGCCGAAGGUAAAACUGGUGAUUGGGGUGAAGUCGAACAAGGUAGCCGUAGGAGAACCUGCGGCUG
rnacentral:rRNA from 1 species